CCUGCAAAGUUACAACUUUGUGAGAAAAUUUGGUCGCAAAUAAAUCUGGGUGUUCUUAAUAAUAAGGGCGGAUUUUAUUAAUAGAUCAAACCCAAGAAUUAUGGAACGAGAUUGGUGAACUUUGAGUACUGGUAGAUAUUGGAUAUAUACUGUCACAAAUGAGAUCUAGAGCUUCCAGGAAAAGGUAGCGACGCCGGCGCACCAACCUUGGAGGACAUAACCGACUUUGGAAGAAUCUGCAUGGUGGGGAAGAGCAAAGCCGCGUGGCUGUAGAACAAGCUUCCCGGCGCCAACCUUGCUCCCGCGAAGCACAGGAAAUUCAGAACUCGACCAACUAUGGUAGGAACCACCAUCUCCCUCGAAUAUCUUCUGGGCAGACUUGGAUGCCAGGUCAAGCUCCAUAGUUUUCUGCACUUCAAAUAAGGCUAUCAAAAGUAAAGCAGGGUGCAUGGUUAUUAAUUUGGUUAAACUUUCUUGUAUAAUUACAGCAAGAUAGCAUGCAUGCAUUUGCAGUGAUUUGAACAAGAUGAAAAAUCUGUUCGUUUUACA